rnacentral:misc_RNA from 1 species
GCAAACUUGGUCAUUUAGAGGAAGUAAAAGUCGUAACAAGGUUUCCGUAGGUGAACCUGCGGAAGGAUCAUUGCCAAUGUGGCUGUGCGUCCUUGCCCCCCUCAAAAAGGGGUGGUUCGGGCCACAGCUUUCAUUUCAAACAAAGCCCUUUGUGAACCUGGCUGUGAGAGGCUGAAGGCCCCUCUCUGGGCGGAGCCGCACCCCGCAACAGGGGUGGACCCUCUCACAGCCCAAACCAAAACAACCCCUUUUUUCUUAUGCCUUCUUUCAAAGACUGAAGACUAAAAAAAAAACAAAAACAUUCUUACAACUUUUAACAAUGGAUAUCUUGGCUCGCGCAUCGAUGAAGAACGCAGC